CCGCCAUCGGCUCCGCCCACACCCAAUGGCCACGCCCCACAACCUGCACCUGACAGUGAGCAGGACGACCAGGAGCUGGUUCUGGUGCUGCAGGACUUCGUGGCGGUGUGGGAGGAUGAGAUCUCCCUGUUUUGGGGGGAGAAGGUCCAGAUUCUGGCGUCCAACCAGCAGGGUCAGAGUCUGGUUUAAUACUAGUACAUACACUUCAAAUACUGUAAGCCAAUGGGACCAAAGGCAUGUUGGGAAAUGAAGUAUGCACUACAAGAGAUGGGGAGCAAAGGUGGCGAUGCCAGCUGGUCAUCAUGUCUUGUGCCUCAUUCCCAUCAGAUGACCUCAUACAUAACCAUCCAAGUCGCCACUGUGGUACAACUGGGACAAACUGUUCACGUCCUACGAUUUAUAAUCCCAAGCUACAGAUAUCUGCACAUUUCUGAUACAUUUGGUGAAAAGAACUAAAGAAAUGCUAACAGACCUGAUGGAGACUGGCUGCAAAAGCUAAAUAAAUUUGAGUAUUAACAAGGAA